rfam:Heligmosomoides polygyrus genome assembly, scaffold: HPBE_scaffold0010756
UGUUUCUAUGCCUCCCACACUAUAAAGCCAAACGCAGGCUGCAAUUGGGCCAUUCCUGUUAAGCGGAACUGGCGCUAUGGGAGGAACCGAACGUUGGGUGAAGGUGUCAAGCCGUCCGCUCAUGAGACCCAUAGAAGACGUUGGCUGAUAGAGAGCAGGACGGCGGCCGUGGAAGUCGGAACCCGCUAAGGAGUGUGUAAGAACUCAUCUGCCGAAUCAACUAGCCCUGAAAAUGGAUGCUUGAAGGUAAGACUUAAACCUUACCGUUGCCAGCUUGUACACUGUCAUGCGCCUGGCCGCAACGAAUAGGGGGGGGGGUCGUGGCGGUUGCGUCGAAGAGUUCUGGUGUAGGCCCAGCUGGAGCUUCCGCUAAUG